GAUUACACCAACAAAAUGUGAUGGAAUCAUACUAGGGAACUGGCACUUUUUCACAAAGAGCAGGGAAAGACUUGCCAAAACCAGUGAAGAGACUCAUUCUAUUGAGCGGCUCCACGAUCCGCCAUUGCUGUA